rnacentral:rRNA from 1 species
CAUGGAAGGGCCAUCGCUCAACGGAUAAAAGCUACCCCGGGGAUAACAGGCUUAUCUCCCCCAAGAGUUCACAUCGACGGGGAGGUUUGGCACCUCGAUGUCGGCUCAUCGCAUCCUGGGGCUGUAGUCGGUCCCAAGGGUUGGGCUGUUCGCCCAUUAAAGCGGUACGCGAGCUGGGUUCAGAACGUCGUGAGACAGUUCGGUCCCUAUCCGUCGUGGGCGUAGGAAAUUUGAGAGGAGCUGUCCUUAGUACGAGAGGACCGGGAUGGACAUACCUCUGGUGUACCAGUUGUCGUGCCAACGGCAUAGCUGGGUAGCUAUGUAUGGACGGGAUAAGUGCUGAAAGCAUCUAAGCAUGAAGCCCCCCUCGAGAUGAGAUUUCCCAACUUCGGUUAUAAGAUCCCUCAAAGAUGAUGAGGUGAAUAGGUUCGAGGUGGAAGCGUAGCGAUACGUGGAGCUGACGAAUACUAAUCGAUCGAAGACUUAAUCAACAU